GGUGGGAAAGAAGUGGCAGUGUCAGCACUAAGUGGGGGGGUAAACCCAAAGAAAGGCAGCUGGGAACACAAAGAUUGUUUCAAUUUAAUUUUUCUUUAUUUGUAGCGGAAAAAGAUUAGCAGGCCAGCAGUGAUCUUAAAACUUCCAGCAUAGGCAGUAUUUGAGGGAUGAAGUUGCACGUGUAGAGAAGCAAUCAAUGACAAAAUAAGGACACGUCAGGCAGGCAGGCAUCGUUCCCUAUAUCUAAAUUACUUAUUUUCUCCCAAUGUACUCGAACGUUUCCAUUUCUCUGCACGGCUCCAUCCUGCUCCUGUUCUGGAUUAUUUAGCAGCAGAUCUCACAGAUGCCAGCUUUUCUUGUUGUAAGGAAGGAGGACAGUGCAUUUCAGCCGACCUAGGAGCAACGCGAGGGGAUGCAGGUUGUGCUGGUGGUGGUGGAGAGGGGAACAUCACUGCUGGGUCUGCUUUGUGCUGCACAGACACACACCAUCCUCCUUGUGCCCCAUUGCAGAGAUGACAUGUCACAGAGGAAGAGGUGCCAGGUGGGCACACAUCAGCAGGAAGGGCUUGGAAGGCAUUUGGCAAAAUUUGUCUUUAUUUGUUGUUAUUUCCCCAUCCUCCUGUUGUCCUUCAUUGCAGCCCACACUCCUCACGCAUGAGGACGUGGUGUCAGUAGGUUGUUUGUUCCCUGGCCAGCCUGUUGGCCACAGAAAAUCAUCUGAUAUGUAAUAAGUAUUUUGCAUUGAGCUGGAUUUACUGCAUCACUGUUGUUUCUAUGAAUGGCUUUGAUGCCAGGGUCAAGUGGAUUUGAUCACUGAUUGUGACUGCUUACACUUUUAACACCAGGAAUUUGGCUCAGGCUGACGUAAAUUAUUGGUGUGUGCCAAAAAUGCAUGACUUUUCAUGAUGACAUUUUACAAAAUUACCUUCAUCCUACAAACUGGUAUUUCUUUGCAAUUUAUCAGACGUGGGACAUUCAACAGGAGCGCGACGCUGGGCUUCACCGUGCAAUAACAUAACUGGAAUUUAAUCUCUGCAAAUGGGAUUUCUUUUAAAACUAAAACCUGGUUUUGAAGGACAAAAAAAGUGAAAAAUGAACAAAACUUUUAAUGUCAGUUUCAGAAAUAAGGCCAAAGAGGUCUCUGAUUCAUAUUCAUGGAAGUAGAGUCAACAUGUGAUGCUAAUUUUAUGGGGUUUCCAAAAAAAGAAUGCCCUUUCCAUAUAUAAUUUACUGUUUCUGUGAUUCAUCAAAGCUUUUUGUCCUCCAGCACAUGAGUGGUCACCUCUGAUUUAUGCACCAGAGGACUCAGUAGGUCCAAACCAGAGUGGAGCAGAGCAGCUUUGCUCCGAGUCGCACCUACCAACUCCUUGCGUAAGUUGCUGCAGCAAUACCAGAACUGUAAUGUAAUGUAUGGCAAAGUUGCUGUGGAAUUAUGCACUAAUUGACUCAGCAACAUUUUUGGGGGGAGGAAAAAAAAAAAAAACAAAUCCAAUUUGUGUGGUUAUCAUGGCAACCAGCAGGUGCCCAGGAUGUGCCCUGGGCUGCAGGAACCAGCACUUACUGCCCCCAUGGAGCAUGGGGCUCCCCAGACCAUGGGAGAGAUGCUGGAGCUCCAUCCAUCAUGACUUCAGCCGUUUGUUUCUCAUUCCAGAUACCCUCUGUAGUCUGCUAGGAUAUAUAGGCCAGUCUUGUUUCCCCCCGCACACACUCCAGCCUAUGUCCUCUUUCUAUUUAGGAAUUAAUUAUGAUGCUAUCUCGUAUAACUCAUUAGUAUCAAUUAAUUCUUCGCCUUUCAUGAUUUUAUAUAGCUAAAUUAGAUUGCCACUUAGGAACCUGAUAAUCAGUUUUGGACUCAUUUAGACAUUGCUUUUUCCCCUCUCCACCCAGUUUCGUGGAGCGCUGCGGUGCGGGGCUGGGCUGCUGGGGGCACCUCUGCCUCCUCACUCCACCUGCUUGGCAGCGUGAAUGCAUCCUUCUGAAUUUUAACAGCCCUCACUAUUUAUUUAGGAGCUGUGUUGGAUGGUAUUCUUGCUUUGUCAGAACGAACAUCCCUCCUUCCAGCAGUUGGCCAAGCCAUUGAGUUCCCUCCCCAUAAGCUCUCUGUGGGGACCAGUAGGAGCACCUGGGGAUGUGUGCAUUCUCGUUCAUCUUGGUGGGAUGCUCCCUGUGAAAUCACAGCCUUGCUGGCAUCCACACGGCCGUGUUUAACUGCUUCACUGCUCACUGGCACGCCGCAUCCAUUCGGGGGGAAAAAGCCGUAAUAUGAUUGAAUAUAUCUGGCAGGACCUGAUAUUCCCACUCAUUUUGACUCCAAUCCAGCAGCAGCAAAGGCAAUUAAAUAACAAGUUUUCUCCGGCAAAAUGAGUUGCAAAAUGCCCCCAGCUGCAUGCUGCAGGAAAUACACCACCUCAGCUUUGCUGAUUGCCAGCACGCCUGCACCUGCCCCUGGCUGAGGAGGUCCCAUGCAGCAAGGCUGCUCCCCAGUUGGGCUGUGUGAGGUGGCACAAGCAGCAGGUGUGCAUUGCUGGCAGCACGUGGCCAUCACUGCCUCACUGCAGCAUGGCACACUCCCAGUGCUUCACAGUCUGCCACAUCAGAGCCCGGGCUCAGCCCCUCAUUGCGAAUGCAGACCUGGAUCCUGUAAAUGAGUUGGUUAAAUGAGAUGGCCAAAUGUUGCUUGAAAACAAAAUUCCAGGAGAUCAGCCUGUGUGAAAAUGGACCCUGAGACAUAACUGCUGACCCCAAAAUGCCACAGGCAUAACCCUAACCCUAACCACGCAGCCACCAAAGGGCAACACCACAUUAAAGAUGGAGCUAAGAGCAAAGGAAGCAGUGUUGGAUGAGAUGCUGUAGGCUGCACUAUGUGCAUGUGUACACCGGGAAGAAGGAUGCUGAUGGGUGGCUUUUCCAUCACCUGGUAUUGGUAAGUAUUACUGACAGAAGGAUCCAGAAAGUCUCAGGAAAAGGUUUUGUCUGAAAUCGCUGUCCUGCAUUGCUUUUUCCUACAGCAGCUUUGGGAGAGCCCAGGCUCCUCCCCAGGGGCUGCACCCAUCACUUUUUUUUUGAAUAUGCAUGUCUUCUGGCUGUUCAGUCUGCUGGCCUGGAUUACUUUAACUAUUUCCUUUUGUGUAGGCAGAUCUAUUUAAUGUUCAGAUUAUACACCUUAUAUUUCUAUGUCUAUGAAAUUGCUGGAUGUUGCAUUUCCCGUAGUAUUCUAUGGGUUGUCAAGUUCUCUUCUAAACGACUUAUGCGUUUAGAAGUUUGGAGCUACUAAGCAAAGAAAACAUUAUUAUUUGCAAUCAAAAUGUUGUGUGGGUGGUUUGUGGUCACCAUGUCCUUCAAGAUGCUAAAACAGGCGGAUCUUAUCCUUUCAAAUCUAUUUUUAUUCAUGGACAGGGAGAGGAAAACACAUUUUCUGCUCUUCCAGCUUCCAAUCAGGUUUUCAGUUUCAAGUGAAUUAGUCACUGACCUGAACCAGACAAAUACACUGAAAGGAACAGACAAUCCUGCGCCGUUGCUGGAAGGGCUGUCACAAGGUUUGUCACCAUGAGGCAGAGGGGCUGAGCCCAUGCACAGGGGUGGGCAGCCCAUCCCACCAGCAGCAGCGCAUCCCUGGUCAGCAGCUCUUACCGCCCUGCUACGUGUCAAUAUUUAAUCUUCACGUUGAAAAUAUGGAGCACAGUAGCCAUGACAGCAGGCAACAAAAAGGCUUUCUCUUCUCAUCGUGAUGCCAGAAGACUGCAGGACAAGGUCGUUUCAUUAAGGCAUUCCAGUUUUGUGGUUGUGACGUCUUACAGCGACAUAAAGCAGAGCAUUUUGGGCAUCUUUAUCUUCUUUAUCUGCUUAACUCCUGACCGUUUCCUGCACAGCAGCUUCUGAAAUCUCUCCCAUCUGUACGGAUCAUGCAAGACACCCACAGCAAACCACAGUGUGCAGACAUGAUGUAGCACUGAGAGAAGGUGAAGCAUUUGUCUUCCAGCCUCCCCUUUGUCCUACCUGGGAUCUGACCCCUUCUUCUUGCAGUAGUAUGGGGUAGCAGUUCUCACCUGCAGAGGUAACUGCUGGAUUUGAUGGCCUUAUGCUAGGGCCUUGCUUUCCCACUCAACAGCAACAUAAAGCAAACAUGAACUGUUCUGCAAAGCAGCAUCCCAGCAGCAGUGCAGCCUUUGGCAGCUUAGACUGGUUUGGGACACAACGUGGGACAUGCACACACAAGUGACUGGUCCCCAUGUGGUGCAGCCAUGGCACUGUGGACUGAAAAUAAAGAGAAAUGAGUGAGAAACAUGGAUGCUGAAUGGUGGGGAAGCCAUCAACCAUCAUUGAUAGACCACAGGCAACAAAACCUCAAAAUGGUUCUACCUCACACCCUGCUCUAUGGAGAUUUUGGUUCUACAAGAUUCAGAGAAUGUAGCUACAGCAAGCUGCAGCUCCUCAUCGCACUCCAUCACUGAACUACAGAAGCACAGGGCACCAAAGGCACUCUAACCAUCAUAUGGCGGAAUACACACCUGCACAAUCUCACAAUGCCAUCUGAAAAUGGAACAAAAAGAAGCAGCUCUGCCAUUACCUUUACAUACAGGCUGUCUGAGACACAUCACCGCGGUGGAGCAGUGGGCCACUGCCUUCCUUCCCAGGAUCCUGGCUUAUUCCCAGGGCAAACCUAUUUCGUGGCUUAUGGUUUUGAAUCGAGCUCAUUUCGAUUUGUUGCUGAUUCUGUUUGAAGACACUGUUUCCAUCAGCAUGUCUUAAUAUACUAAACGUGUCCCCUAAGCCCAUCCUUGAAGCUUGGUGCUACGAUUCCCUGGUACAACUUUAUGGUUUGGAAGUCUUGUGUACACACACAUUCCCAACGUAGCAGAGUCCCCUACAACAACCAGGAACUACAGUUGUAAUUUCAGUGCAUGUUUCAAACCUGAGGCCGGACAGAAGUCACACAACUGGAAAUAAAAUAGAUCGUCAGUGGUGAUUUAUUUACAGGGACUGCUUCCAGCAGGAGCACUCAGUCUGCAUCCACGCUUCCGUUGAAUAUUCAACCCAGGUGAGAGGAGCACCGAGCUCCGUGACAGCCCUUCACAGGUUGGGUUCCCUUUCACUUUUUGGCCUUCCCAUCCUAGUGGGGAGCGGCUGUGCCAUUCACCCAAGGGUGUCCUGGCUGGGAGGAUGGGAAGGGGAGCCGCCACCCCGGGCACUCAUGACCAUGAGAGCACGUCCAAAGCCAACUGGAGGUCUGUUCUAUUGCAAUACAACCCCCAGCUAGAGUUCAUCUCAGAAUACAUUGUGCUUCUGUUUACUGCAUUCAGGUUCAGCUGGGAUCCAUCACCUUGCUCCAUGUCAGGGUGAUAGAGGGACACGGACUGUGCCAGCAUGCUGAGCACAGUGCGAGUGAGCAGUGCUCAUCUGCUCUGCUCUCUUUUCACAGGAAAACUUUGCAGAAAAAAAAAAGAAUCCAGAUUUUUUCUUCCAGAGGUUGCGUGCAGAAAUAUGCUAAAAGCACAUAACUACCUGGCAAUGAUACCCUGUAUGUUUUAAUCACAUGUUUAUUGAAAGUCUCGUGAUUAACUUCUGAUUUAGAGUCAUAGAAUCAUAGAAUCACAGAACGGCCUGGGUUGAAAAGGACCAAAAUGACCAUCCAGUUCCAACCCCCUGCUAUGUGCAGGGUCGCCAACCAGCAGACCAGGCUGCCCAGAGCCACAUCCAGCCUGGCCUUGAAUGCCUCCAGGGAUGGGGCAUAUAUGUUAAAACAUAGGUAGCUGCUGCAUGCUUUUCAGGAAAAUAAGGGCUGAAAUCUUUUGUUUAAUCCAUUGAGCUAUUUUUGUCAAAUUCCAUCUGUUGCACAAUGGGGAGGUGGUGCAAAAUUGGUGCUCUAGUCUUUUAUUUCACUAUUUAUUUUACUUGUGACAUUUGAUGGUCGUGAAUUGCUGCUCUCUGGUUCUUUCUGUGCAAAUUGAUAGCAAAUGCCUCCCUAAAGAAAAACAGGGUGGCUAGUGUUGAAAUAACAAUAAUUUCAACUGGGGAAGACCAGAAAAUUAAGCAGGAUGCAGUUUUAAAAGAAUGUAGAGAACCUUUUUGCUCUGCAUUACAGUCAUAAGGCUUAUCCAGAGUAUCUUUCAAAGUCAAUAACAAGUAAGUUACAGUUGAAAACUGAAUUCUGAACACAUAUCGUACUUCCAACUUCACAGCAAGCUGACACUUUUGUGCAAAAAAGUAUAUGUUAUAGAUUAUACUUCCAUUGUUUUGAACAGGAAAAAUCUCUCUGCCCUAAGGAACCCAUAUUCUAGCAUCCUGCUCUUAAGAAACAUGGAAGUGCUUAAUUUUCUGAUCAUAGGCUCUCUAAUGGAAGUCUUACAAAGUUAACAAGAUUGUGUUUUUUUGGAUAAGGCCCAAAGGCCCCAUUCUGUAGGCUUACAGGAGCGAGUCGUACUUGCAGUGCAGUGGAGAGGAGAGCAUCUCACUCAUCAAGCUGCAGUUUCCAAGUUCUGACCCUAAUUGCUGUACCAAUUGGCACAGGAUGCAUGUAUGCACAGUGCAGCCCAAGGAGGAAUGGAUCAUGAGUGUAGCAAGGAAGGAGACUACACCUUAGCAAUGAUUUCAUCAGUUUGUCUUCUUUUUAUACUUGUGAAUCGUUCUUACCCUCUGUCUUGGAUCCCUUUAGGAAAAUAUUGCGUCCCUAUGUUGGUUACAGACCUCUCUAUGCUCAUUCCUUGGCAGUCAUCUCAGAAGCACCAAGAGCAGAAUCUUUUUUGUGCAGACAAAUCCCACAGGGGUGUACUUAGCAAGAACUGCUGCAAUAAACACCCGAACUCCCCAUAAAAGCACUACCCUUGUCUGAAGGGCUGUUGCAUAUAGGAAUUUGCCAUGUGACUUCUGUUCUUUCUCAUCUGACUAUCUGUUCCCGGUGAUAACAAACUUUGAUAUGGAAAACAGGGGAUUGUAUGGCCUGACUGUCAGCAUGGUGAUGCCUUGCCAUAGCCAACCACCUUCCACAGCACUGGGUGAAGAACAGAUGAUUAUUUCAGAAUUAUGUAGGCAGAAAAUGACAAGCAACGAUAGAGAGGACAUCCUGCUCCAGGUUAAAAGAGCACAUCAUCCUCUGCUACCCAGAUCCAUCAGCUGCAGGCUUCACCUUAGGAACAAACACUAGUGACUAUGAAUGUUUUGCUUCUGUCUCAGCUUGACCCAAUGUCCAUGGCCAUUGCUAACGAUGCUCUCAGCUGUGCAGAGAGGCUCCAUUGAUUGAGGACCACUGCGGCCCCGAUGGUCUUCAAUAUUCCGUGUUUGAUUUUAACAUAGAAAAUGUGGUCUAACGUGCUGAUCAGAAAACUCUCAAGCCUGUAGUACUGUGCUCAGGUGAGUAAUUAACCUUUAGAAAGGGCUCUGUGUCAAACAGUACCUAAGAAAAUCGGAAGUAGAAAUGCCCUGCUCUGCCAGCAGCUCAGACUGACCCAGCUGAAGCCCCUCAGCGUGGUGAUGAAGGCACUCACCAUGGAUGUGUCAGGUGCAAUUUGAUUUUCUCCCACAUGACCCAAACCCAGAGAUUUUACCCCGACUGCCCUGUCCCAGCUUUCCUCUGUGUGUGAAGUGCUACCUUGCAUAAAUAAUCUGAGUUUUUGCCACAGCCUGGAAGUUAGUCCUGUAAUUAUCAGACCAGAAAGAUGUUCCUGUUAUUUCUCUGUGUCAUUUCGUUCAACACAAGAUUUGGUUUUGCUGUCUCAGCAAGGUGAGGACAGCGUGACUUCUUUUUCCCCAGAUCAACACCUCAACCCAUUUUCAGUUUGGCUGCUGAACAAAAAAUAAGAGGUUUCUGCACAGCCUCUUGUUCAGUGCUCAGAAAGAGAGUAAUUAAACUUCAAAAGGGGCUCCAUGUCCAACAGUAACUAAGAAAAUAGGAAGUGGAAACCCCCUGCUCUCCCAGCAGCUCAGGCUGAACCUUCUAAGUGCCUUCAUGUUAUAGAAGCUUCACAUGCUGUGUACUGCAGGGACAGCUCUGUAACACAGUGGUUCGGGUCUCUGGGGUGUGUAACAGAAAUCCUUAGAGCUUUAGCAGCACCUGCAGGAGGGAAUUCACUGUGGGCAAUGCCAGGUCUGCUGCUUGGGUCACAGCCUUCAGUUUUCACCUGCUCUACUAAGUCAGCACUGGUGCACUCAAAAUGGUCUGCCAGGAUUUUACACAAAGGGCAUUUUUCAGCUGAGGAUGAUGGUGGAUGAUUACUGGGAGGGCUGGAGGUGCUGGAGGAGAUUAGGGCUCGGUGUCUGCUGGGAAUUGAGCAUUCUGCUCAUGCUCUUCUGACAACCCCACUCUGCAGUUACCUAGAUCUUAUAAGCACCUGAAAUCUUGGAUAGCAAAUAGGAAGCCCUUUAUUCACAUACUGAAAUUACAACUAUUUAAUUUAAUUUUUAUAUUCAUAUAUUCUUUUAAUUUUUAAACUUUUUAUUUUUAUAUGGAGGAAAGUAGGAUUAUUUUUACAAACGGUUCAUCUUCUCUAAGAAUAUUGCUUAUACUUGGCCUGGUUUUCUAUGUACUGCAGCAUAGUAAAGCUUCAACUACAGACUUAAGCAAUGGCAUAAAUUGUUAAUCUAAUUACUCUUUUCUUUAACAUCCACCAUACAACAAGAAUUGUGCAUCUGGAUCCUCAGUCCUUCAUUUACCUGAGUGCAUAAUAAGCUCUCAGAUACUAUCUCAUCUGGACCAAGAAGUUACUAACAACCUAUGAUACAGGGACAUUCAUUCUGAGACAGUGGUCUGGGGUGGAAGGACGACUGGUGGGCAGGCAGUUCUGUGGGAUGAGGUCUCUUGGAAGUGCCCUGAGGUAGAUAUCACAGAACACAGGUAUCCAAAAUCAGCAGGUAGUCUGGCAAAUUACAGUGUAUGUCUUCACUUGUUUGUCAGUUAGUGCUCAUCUUGUUAUGGAUAUCAUGGCAAUGCUAAGAAUAAAUAACAGUUACCUAUCUUAGCUAAGAAAGUCAAGAAGAGUCUCAACGACCAGGUGACAGUGCCUGCAGCACUCUCUGAUUUCCUUUCUGGUCUGAAGUGCUGCAAUUGCUGCUGUGUGGGAUAGAUUCUCUGUUUGGAAAAGACAGGCAAGCAAAGCUUUUCCAUGAUUCUAAUGAAUGGCACAACACUACCUUCUCAACUUUAAAAUAUGCCACAAAAGGGAACACGUCUUUUCUUGUUAUUUCUGUCCUUCCACAAAACAAACACUGUAUCAUAGUUCCUCCUGCCCCACUACCAGAAGGUGCCCAUUGAAGUUCUGCCAUCAAUUUUGAAAUCACUCAUGAUGCUACCCCACGUGAAUUCGUGCAGGUAAAAAAAAGAGAGAGAGAGAGAAGAAGAAGUUUGUAGUUGUCUAGUUCAAUUAAAAUACUUGGAUAUUCACUUAUGGAAGCAACACUUAUGGAAGCAAAUAUAACACUAGUGAGUGAAUUAUGACCCAGAGAGCAUGCAGACCCACUGCGCGAGUGGCCAGAUGGUGCAAGGGAAGUUCUGCUCACUGAGUAAGAGCUGAACUUGAUUUCUCCUAAUUGGAAGCAUUUGACAAUACCUGUUGCAUCUCAUGUAAAGUGAGGAAAUUGCACCACGUUAUGCUGGAAUGUUGCUGUCUCCAAACAUCCAUAUAAUUGUAUUCAAAAAUGUGUAAGGAAAUGCAAGGAGUAGACAAAACCUCCAAGAAGCAUCUGGGGAUAUGUUCUUACUUUAAUAUUCAAUGCACGAAGUCUUGAAGGAAAAUGUCACAACAACUGGAGUUUUCUGAACGGUAUUAAAACUGACCUCAGAUUUGCUUAAAAUCCUAGCAUUAUCAUAUGUGCUGUUCUACUUCUUCUACAUCACAAUGAGAACAUCAGAAACCGAAAAUACAGCAAGGUACCUUUCUCCGACACAAGCCAUCAAUGGUUUUAGUGUAUGCACCAAAAAGCAAUACAAAGAAAAUUGAGAGAUCCAGCUCACCUUGAAGUCCAUUUCCAUUUGCACUGGUGCAAGAUGGUGGAGGAGAGGCUUGGGGCCUGACAACAGGAGCAAAGGCGCUCUUUUGUUUCACUGCAGAGAUGACAUUGGCAGGCUCUGCUCUGAACUUCUGUAUUUUAAAGACACCUAUUCCAGCUGCCGAAUGUGCACGGCUACAGCGGACGGUGACUGCACCCAAAUGUGACAAUAACAGAAGCUGAAGCUGACAGAUGUCCAGGUGUAACCCGCACCCAGAGAGCAAAGGAAUAAUCUGCUGAACCCAUCGCAGUAAAAUGGAUUGUUUUAAAUUCUUCACCUACUCCAAAAAAAAUCCAAUGUAACAAGUCUCAGCCUCCAAUCCUCCAAAGGCACGCUUAACUUUAUGCACACAUAUGGAUCUGUUGAUUCAGAAUGACUGCUCACUUGUAUGCCUUAAAAAAUGCAGAUGCGUAGCCAGGCGUUUACGGGACCGAGGCUUUCUCGGCCGUUCUCUCUAAAAUGCCCUCCCAAAUUCAAAGAUGGUAGUAUUUUAAGCAGACUGACACAAAUCUCCCGUGAAUUUAUUUUCAUAAGGCUCCUAAUGGAAACAGCUGUGCAUUUACAUUGACUUUUAUUUGAGUGUGAUAACAGCAUUCAUAUAUGGAAAGCCAAGGAGCAGUGAUAUCAUUAAUACAUAUAUCAGUCCCAAGACUGAGAUGCGGGAAGCACGAGCCCUACGGGUAAUGAUAUUGAUGGCUCUGGUUCUUCUUGAGGUAAAACUUGUUCUGCUGGAGCUCAGCCCUCAGGAGCAAAACGCCCUACGUGAAAUGCCCCGCGUUUGAAAAACCUUCACUGUGUCUCCAAUUAUCGUAACGGUGAAUAUCUGAUAUGAGCUGCUAGCACGUUCACAAAUUAAAAGAGAAACCUAAUGAUAUUGCUUAUGUUCACGCUGAGCACUAAAAGGUAAUGUCUAAAAGGUUUUAUUGUGUUAAUAAAACUCAGAGGUGGUCAAGACUUGAUGCACAUAGGAAUAGAAUGCAAAAUAAUCAGUCAUAAUGUUAUGACUUCACUUUUCAUUUGUGUUUUCAAGUUUGCCUUGAAAAUCUUAGAUUGCACUACAAGAAAAAAGACAAUAUUAUAUCAAAGAAAAGGAAAAAUUAUAAGCAUGACUUAUCUUUAAUGUUUUACAUCAAAAUGGAAUUUCUGUGAUAUGUGUCAUGUGCAUAAACAACACAGGCAGCUUUUGUCUUUGUUGAAUUUAAAUGAAAAGUCCCUCUAGAUAUUAAUAUGUGGACUUCAUUUGUUAGCCUGCUAAGUCAGGGACUUAUAACAAAAGCUUUGUAAACAAAAGAUUAAACUGAAUCGAGCUUUCGAAAAUGAAAGGAAAACAAGAGUCAAAUAAUCACAGAUCAGAGUGGGGCUGCUUAGAUUGAAAUCACUACAAGCUACUGGAGUGGAAAAUGUUUAAUUGAACUAUUUCAUUACGCAGGAAGUUUAUGUCCCUCUCAUAGAAUCCAAAAUAUUUGUAUCCGACAAUCCCUUCUCUUUCUUUAAAAUACAGUUUUGCAUGCAUCAAAUGCAAUCUUAAAGGCUGUUGACUAACUUCAUGGCAAAGAAUGAAUGCAGAAAAGAAUAGGUCAAAUGUAAGAACUCAGGUUUCUGGAUUUUGCAGCUUGACGUACCCACUGAAGAAGCUGCUACAUUAGACAGAGUUUGUAUGUGGCAUUAUUUUGCAAGUGAUAAGUAGUAUACGGCACUGCUCAGAAACAUACGUGAAAUUCAAACAAACGAAGGCUUUUGAGUCCUUACUCACCUUUGGUAACCUUUCGGGAUCACCUGGAUGUCGUGGAAUAACUUUCUGCAACCUCUGAAAGCCAUAAUCUAUGGUUGGUUCAUUAAGUGCUAGAACAUAAACAGAUCAGUCAGUUUAAACAGAGUGUAGAUUUAUAAACACGUUGUUCAACAAACUAUUUUUUAGCACAAACUUCCACGCGACGCAGUUUCCUUCUUCAGUCUUAUCACAGCUACAAACCACAUUCUAAAGCCUGUCCUGAGGAAGAGUUGUGCUGGUUGUUGUUUUUUUUUCCUCCACAAAGCAAUGAUUACUUCUAUUUAUAAUUAGACUGGAAAAUAGUCAAAGGGUUAUCCAAUAUAUUGCAAAAAUGGUAGCACAGUAACAAAGUUACAGGUCUGGAGGCCAUAUAUAGCAAUCACUACAGUCAUGAUAUGAUGUCUGCAUCAUGGGCUGCUUUCUAUACUGGCUGUGGAUUUAUGGGAAACUGGCAAUUAUGACAUAUGUCCAGCUAUUGCUAGCUUCAGAUUUAUCCCUGUGGUCCUUUUUUGUCUAGCAUAUUGCCUGAGCACAAACCAGGCAGGAGGAGCACUUAAUCUUGCAAAGCUUUAAUAAUCUGUGAAUGGCUGACUACAAACUGAUGUAGAGCACUAUCAUUCUACAGCUGCAAUCCACUAGCCUCAUGAAAUUGCAGGCCACAAAUAGUAAUUAAUCUUUUUAUCCCUCAAAUUGUAAUUUUGACUAUGAACUGUGCUUGGUCAUAAAUCAGCAGCACAUGCUGCUGUGUAC